GCCCUUGCAGUUGCGAGGCAGGUGCUGGAACCACUGAGGUUUUCGUGGCUCGGCUCCCUAGCUCUCAGGGCGUGGCUGGCCCUGGACGAGUUUCUGGUGCUGUCACCUAAAUGGGCUGUCGGUGGGGUGCCGAGAACUGGCCCCCCUGCACCUGCUCCCAGUCUGAAGCUGCAGGAGACACGCAGUCCCAGGAGGCCCUCAGAGGGCCCUGCUCACAGGUGACUGGAGACCUAGAAGCAUCGGGGUCAGCUGGGAGCCUGGGGGGACUGCGGCCCCACUCUGGACCUCGAGAAUCUGGACCUGCACAAGACCCCAGUGCUUAUGGUAUGCUGGACUUCUGCUUGUGGACGCAAAUGGCAAGUUAUCAAAAAGGAUUAUUUUGUUCCCAAAAAAGACUCCUGGAAGAAGAGCUAUUGUACAGUGAGCAAUGUCCAAGUGCCAGGCCGGUGCUCAAAACCACGCAGACUUGCUCACGGGGCUUCACGAAGUUUGCUCUUGCUCCCUGGCCAAGGGCAUCGAGAGAGACGCCGUGCCAGGUGUGACGGUGCAUACACGUAAUCCCUGCUAUUUAGGAGGCUGAAGCGGGAAGACCUUGAGUGUGGGCCCAGCUUGGGCAGGACCCUGUUUCAACAUUUUCAAAAGGGGCUGGAGAUGUAACUCAGUUG